rnacentral:lncRNA from 1 species
UCGACGCAAGGCUCUCGUAUUGAUGAAUUUAAUCGAAUCAACGCAAGGCUUAAGAGAAAACUCUUGUAUUAAUAACUUUCAAAAACUAACUAAUAAGAACUACAAGUCUAUGCCCUUAUAUAGAGACUUAAGGUCGGUUUAUAAAUCACCUUCCCUUUUAGAAAUAGGAAACUAAAUAACAAAAAGGAAAAACCCAAAACAUGUUAAGAAAAGGAAAUCUUAAACGUAUUUGAAACUGGUUGCUUGGCGGACAAGGUAUUAUGAUGCUGCAUCAGGUCCCCCGGGGUUAGAAAGAUUCGUCCCUGAAUCCGGCAGAGGUUCUGGGGGAACGUAGCGCGAUAAAUGGCGGACAUUGAAAACAUCAGAUGUGUUGAUGUGAGCUGGGAGUUGUAGACGAUAAGCGUUGUCGUUGAUUCGUUCAAGAACUUCAAGAGGACCAAUCUUCUUUGCUUUAAGUUUAUUAUAAGAAUGAGCCGGUAUUCGAUCUUUAGUGAGAAACGCCCAAACUUGAUCACCAACUUCAAAAACAACACGCCUGCGAUGAGCAUCGGCAGCAGUUUUAUAGUUUGUUGCUGAUGUCUGUAAGUUAGAGAUCACUCGCUGAUGGAUGGUAUGAAUAUCAUCGAUGAAGUCGGCAGCGACACCAUGACGUCGAGACUGAUCCGGUAAUGUACUAAGAUCAAUAGGGCUACGCGGACUCAUGCCGUACACCACCUGGAAAGGACUGUAACCAGAACUCCUAUUUAAAGCAUGAUUAUGGGCAAAUUCCGCUUGCGGAAUCUUGGCAUCCCAUGUACCAAUCGAAUCUCCCACAAGGCAACGCAACAAGUUGCCCAAAGAACGGUUAGUGACUUCAGUCUGACCAUCAGAUUGGGGAUGAUAAGCGGAACUCAUAUCCAAACUAGUACCAAGCAUUUUCCAUAAUGAACGCCAAAAGUGACCUAAGAACCGAGAGUCACGAUCGGAUACAAUAGAAGAGGGUAAACCAUGGAGGCGAUAGAUAUCCCGGAAGAAUAAAAUAGCCACUUGGAGAGCGUCGGUAGUCUUUUUACAUGGAAUAAAGUGAACCAUUUUGGAGAAACGGUCGACGACAACAAAUAUGGAAUCGAACCCGCGUUGAGUUCGUGGAAGUCCCAUAACAAAAUCCAUACUGAUAUCAGUCCAAGGUUGCGUAGGAAUAGGAAGAGGGAGAUAAAGGCCGGCAUUGGUGGCAUGACCUUUGGAACGCUGACACACAACACAUCGCUCAAUAAAUCUUUCAACAUCACGUCGUAGAGCUGGCCAGAAAUACGAACUGGUGAGGAGAUGCAAGGUUCUGUCACGACCAACAUGACCUUCCCCAUGCGUUUCAGAGAUGAGCUGUAGACGGAGGCUACAAUCGGGAACACACAAACGGACCCCGCGGAACAAGAAGCCAUCGUGGAGUGUGUAAUCGCGAGACUCGCCAGCUUGAACCUGAGCCAGUAUGCUUGCAAAGAAGGCAUCAGAGGGGUAGAGAUCAGCAAAAGUUCCGAACCCAGGGACAGACACAUGUAAUACCGAAAGAAGAGUCCGACGUCGACUCAAGGCAUCAGCGACACGGUUGGAAACGCCUGAAGUAUGUUUGAUAACAAACGUGAACUGUUGUAAAUAUGACACCCAAGAGGCAUGGCGAGCCGAAACCUUAUCUUGACUGCUAAGAUGUUUAAGUGCGUCAUGAUCGGUAAAGAGAACAAAUUCUUUAUGAAAAAGAUAAUGGCGCCAGUGUUUGAUAGCCUGGAUGAUUGCAUAGAACUCCACAUCAUAAGUGCUGUAUCGUGCUCUAGCUCCAAUGAGUUUUUCACUAAAAAAUGCAAUAGGGCGACCUCGUUGGCUUAGAACUGCGCCAAUACCAGAUUUAGAAGCAUCACAAUGCAAUUCAAAGACCUGCGAGAAGUUUGGUAAGGACAAGAUGGGCGCAGAGGUGAGCUUCUGUUUGAUGGCGUUGAAGGCGUCCGUGGCUUCAGGAGUCCAUGUGAAAGAGCCUUCUCGUCGCAUACAAUCCGUAAGUGGAGCCAUGAGACUACUAAAUUGAGGGACGAAACGUCGGUAGAAAGAAGCGAGGCCAUGAAAACUCCUUGUUUCAGUUAGAGUUGUAGGGAGGGGCCAAGAUUGAAUAGCUUCUACUUUAGCGGGAUCGACGGCGAGGCCGUUGGCAGAUACGAUAUACCCAAGAAAGUGGACCCGUGCUGACCCAAACUCACACUUUUUAAGUGUAGCGAACAGCUGAUCACGCCUCAGGACGAGUAGUACCUCGCGGAGGUGCGCAAGAUGGUCAGCAAGAUUCGAACUAAAUAUGAGUAUGUCGUCGAAAUAGACAACGACGAACUUGCCAAUAAAUGGUCGCAGGGCUUGAUUCAUAACCCGCAUAAACGUGCUUGGAGCAUUAGACAAACCAAAUGGCAUAACAAGCCAUUCAAAAAGACCUUCUCUCGUCUUAAAAGCCGUUUUCCAUUCAUCACCCGGCCUAAUACGGAUCUGAUGGUAACCACUUUUGAGAUCAAGUUUAGAGAAAAUAGAGGCCGAACCAAUUUGAUCCAGUAGGUCGUCGAGGCGCGGUAUAGGGAACCGGUAACGGACAGUAAUUUUGUUAAUAGCACGGCUAUCAACACACAUACGCCAUGACCCAUCCUUUUUUGGUAUAAGUAAAGCCGGAACGGCGCAGGGGCUUAAGCUCUCCCGGAGAAACCCUUUUGUCACUAGUUCUUCAACUUGUCUUCGUAAUUCUUCGUGCUCACUAGGACUCAUACGGUAAUGAGCUCGAUUAGGAAGAACUGCAUCAGGGACCAAAUCUAUGCGAUGCUGAAUAUCGCGGAGAGGUGGUAGCCCAAUUGGUAAGUCAUCGGGAAAAACAUCACUGAAAUCUUGUAGUAGAGGUUCAAACUCGCAAGGUACAUGUGGCAUGGACGGAGAAGUCGUGGGGUGAAGAAGAAAAACGAUUCCCUCUUCACGCAUAGCUGCCUCAAAUGGUUUCCGCUGGAGAAUGAGUAUUGGUGACGACUGGGGAGAUGAUUUUGUUGGUUCCGAAGGCUGAAGUGUGUAGUUGCGGUUGUUAAAACGAAAUGUGUAGGUGUUGAGGAAGCCAUCAUGUUGGAUGCGCCGAUCGAAAAUCCAGGGACGUCCUAAGAGAAGAUGGCAAGCAUCCAUGGGAGCAACGUCACAAUGAAUUUGGUCUUUGUAUGAUUCUCCAACCGAAAAAGAGAUCAAAGCACGACGAGUGAUGAGUAAGUCAGUCUUCUGGUCUAGCCAUGCUAAUUUAUAAGGAUAAGGGUGAAGUUCUGUUUGUAACUGCAGUUUGUUCACCACUUCCUCUGCGAUGACGUUUUCACUACUACCCGAGUCUAUGAUGAAGUUACAAACUUUGCCUCCAAUGGUACAUUUUGAGUGGAACAGAUUAUGUCUUUGAGGGUUGAUGUCGGCACUAUGAGGGGCUAGGCAGACGCGGCGUACCAUUAAGCAUGGUCCACUAUCCGCCGUAAGAAUCUCAGGUUCCUCCAUAGGAUCAACAGGUUCUUCGUCAUAAACCACUUCGACAUCGUUACCAGCAGUAUCCAAAAGGAGUCCACGUCGAUUACGAGUUGGACAAUUAGACUGACGAUGGCCAAUUUCUCCGCAAGAGAAACACCGAAGGGAGCUCGGACGAUUGGUGCGAUUGUCGAUGACUGGUACAAUAGCAGUAUCGGUCUUUGCAGGGGUGGCGUCAUCUGUAGGGGAUUGAGUUUGUUGUGUAGGGCGAGUAGGCCGUGCAUUUGUCCAUGAUGAAAACGAUGACUUAGUCUGAGUCUCGAUAGUCAAAGCUUGUUGGUGUGCUUCGGACAACGUAAGCGGGUGAAAAAGAUUGAGAGUGUGUUGAAUUUGUUGACGAAGGCCUGCUGUGAAGCGUGCUACAAGUUGACGCUCCGAGUCUUGAAUGUCAACACGGGUGAGGAGUAGAAAGAACUCCGUAGAAUAUUCAGCGACGGAACGAGUCCCUUGUCUCAGGGUGUGGAGAUGCUGGAACAUGAGCUGAUCGUAAUUGUACGGUAAGAAUGUUUUCUUGAGUUUUGACUUGAGCUUUUCCCAAGAUAAAAUUUUAGGUUUUCCAAGACGAGCUCGGGCUGUCUUUGUUUGCGUCCACCAUGCUGCGGCACGUCCACGAAAGCGCAUGGUUAGGAGAGGAACACAACGUUCCAAUGGGGCUCUUUUAAACUCGAGAAUUUCCUCAACCGUGACUAUCCAGUCAAGUAGUUCUUCGGCUGAAGUAUUUCCAUGGAACUCGGGAAUCUCGGUUUUGAAUCCUGUUGUCCACUGAUUAUCGGCUGCUGCCACUUGAACAUUGUCUUGAGCGAUAGCUCGGUUGUUGCGAAGAGGAGCAAAAGGAUUAGCAUCAACCGCGGCGGCGAACGGGUCUGCGGCGUCGUCUUCAUCUUCUUCCUCAUCGUCAUCACGUUCAACGUUUUCGCGAGGUGGAGGUGGUGGUGGUCGUUGAACAUUAAGGGCUUGGAGGGCGGUGGUGAUAUUGGCCAUCUGGGCUUGAAGCUCAGCAAUGGCGUCGCGGGUGAUUUCUGCCUCGGUACGUAAUGGUGCUCUACGAGUUCGUGCCAUCAGAUAUGAUCAACAAGGAACGUAGCAAAGCUCUGAUACCAACCUGGCGCAGCGUAUCAACGGUAACUCAGCUCAAAUCUAGGGAUUUAGGUUAAAUCUCUAGAGACCUGACUUCUUGAAUCGAUGAAUUGAAUCAAAUCGACGCAAGGCUCUCGUAUUGAUGAAUUUAAUCGAAUCAACGCAAGGCUUAAGAGAAAACUCUUGUAUUAAUAACUUUCAAAAACUAACUAAUAAGAACUACAAGUCUAUGCCCUUAUAUAGAGACUUAAGGUCGGUUUAUAAAUCACCUUCCCUUUUAGAAAUAGGAAACUAAAUAACAAAAAGGAAAAACCCAAAACAUGUUAAGAAAAGGAAAUCUUAAACGUAUUUGAAACUGGUUGCUUGGCGGACAAGGUAUUAUGAUGCUGCAUCAGGUCCCCCGGGGUUAGAAAGAUUCGUCCCUGAAUCCGGCAGAGGUUCUGGGGGAACGUAGCGCGAUAAAUGGCGGACAU